GACGAACGCUGGCGGCGUGCUUAACACAUGCAAGUCGAACGGAAAGGCCCUGCUUUUGUGGGGUGCUCGAGUGGCGAACGGGUGAGUAACACGUGAGUAACCUGCCCUUGACUUUGGGAUAACUUCAGGAAACUGGGGCUAAUACCGGAUAGGAGCUCCUGCUGCAUGGUGGGGGUUGGAAAGUUUCGGCGGUUGGGGAUGGACUCGCGGCUUAUCAGCUUGUUGGUGGGGUAGUGGCUUACCAAGGCUUUGACGGGUAGCCGGCCUGAGAGGGUGACCGGGCACAUGGGGAAUAAGUUACAGCACGGACGGCGCCCGGAGGCAGCAGUGGGGAAUGUGGGACAAUGGACUCGGGGUUGAAUACCACACGCGGCGUGCGGGAUGACGGACUGACGGUUGUAAAAAAAUAUGGACUGUCACGAACCGUUAGUGACGGUAAUGAAUAAAAAAGCAACGCCUAAGUCAGUG
rnacentral:rRNA from 1 species